CGAGACCUUAACCUGCUAAAUAGCCCCAUCGACUAUGGUUGGUGGCUGGCUUCUUAGAGGGACUAUUGGCUUCCAGCCAAUGGAAGUUUGAGGCAAUAACAGGUCUGUGAUGCCCUUUGAUGUCCUGGGCCGCACGCGCGUUACACUGAUGCACUCAACGAGCAUAUAACCUUGGCCGAGAGGCCUGGGUAAUCUUGUUAACUUGCAUCGUGAUAGGGAUAGAUUAUUGCAAUUAUUAAUCUUGAACGAGGAAUUCCUAGUAAUCGCGGUUCAUCAAACCGCAAUGAUUACGUCCCUGCCCUUUGUACACACCGCCCGUCGCACCUACCGAUUGAAUGGUCCGGUGAGGACUCGGGAUUGUGGUUUGGCUCCUUCAUUGGGGCCUGACCGCGAGAACUUGUCCGAACCUUAUCAUUUAGAGGAAGGUGAAGUCGUAACAAGGUUUCCGUAGGUGAACCUGCGGAAGGAUCAUU
rnacentral:rRNA from 1 species